rnacentral:rRNA from 1 species
GACGAACGCUGGCGGCGUGCUUGACACAUGCAAGUCGAACGGUAAGGCCCUUCGGGGUACACGAGUGGCGAACGGGUGAGUAACACGUGGGUGAUCUGCCCUGCACUUCGGGAUAAGCCUGGGAAACUGGGUCUAAUACCGGAUAGGACUCCGGACUGCAUGGUCUGGGGUGGAAAGCUUUUGCGGUGUGGGAUGGGCCCGCGGCCUAUCAGCUUGUUGGUGGGGUGAUGGCCUACCAAGGCGACGACGGGUAGCCGGCCUGAGAGGGUGACCGGCCACACUGGGACUGAGAUACGGCCCAGACUCCUACGGGAGGCAGCAGUGGGGAAUAUUGCACAAUGGGCGCAAGCCUGAUGCAGCGACGCCGCGUGAGGGAUGACGGCCUUCGGGUUGUAAACCUCUUUCAGCAUCGACGAAGCGAAAGUGACGGUAGGUGCAGAAGAAGGACCGGCCAACAACGUGCCAGCAGCCGCCGUAAUAC